CCAACCCUGGUGAACUUCCGAAUUGUUGCCUCGGCGGAUCAGCCCGCUCCCGGUAAAACGGGACGGCCCGCCAGAGGAACCCUAAACUCUGUUUCUCUAUUGUAACUUCUGAGUAAAACCAUAAAUAAAUCAAAACUUUCAACAACGGAUCUCUUGGUUCUGGCAUCGAUGAAGAACGCAGCAAAAUGCGAUAAGUAAUGUGAAUUGCAGAAUUCAGUGAAUCAUCGAAUCUUUGAACGCACAUUGCGCCCGCCAGUAUUCUGGCGGGCAUGCCUGUUCGAGCGUCAUUUCAACCCUCAAGCCCCCGGGUUUGGUGUUGGGGAUCGGCGAGCCCUUGCGGCAAGCCGGCCCCGAAAUCUAGUGGCGGUCUCGCUGCAGCUUCCAUUGCGUAGUAGUAAAACCCUCGCAACUGGUACGCGGCGCGGCCAAGCCGUUAAACCCCCAACUUCUGAAUGUUGACCUCGGAUCAGGUAGGAAUACCCGCUGAACUUAAGCAUAUC
rnacentral:rRNA from 1 species